GGAUGGAUAGCUCAGUUGGUUAGAGCGUCUGCUUUACACGCAGAAUGUCGUGGGUUCGAGUCCCUCUCCGUCCA
rnacentral:tRNA from 1 species